CUACAGGCUUAACACAUGCAAGUCGAGGGGCAGCAUUUCAGUUUGCUUGCAAACUGGAGAUGGCGACCGGCGCACGGGUGAGUAACACGUAUCCAACCUGCCGAUAACUCGGGGAUAGCCUUUCGAAAGAAAGAUUAAUACCCGAUGGUAUAAUCAGACCGCAUGGUCUUGUUAUUAAAGAAUUUCGGUUAUCGAUGGGGAUGCGUUCCAUUAGGCAGUUGGUGAGGUAACGGCUCACCAAACCUUCGAUGGAUAGGGGUUCUGAGAGGAAGGUCCCCCACAUUGGAACUGAGACACGGUCCAAACUCCUACGGGAGGCAGCAGUGAGGAAUAUUGGUCAAUGGGCGCAGGCCUGAACCAGCCAAGUAGCGUGAAGGAUGACUGCCCUAUGGGUUGUAAACUUCUUUUAUAUGGGAAUAAAGUUUUCCACGUGUGGAAUUUUGUAUGUACCAUAUGAAUAAGGAUCGGCUAACUCCGUGCCAGCAGCCGCGGUAAUACGGAGGAUCCGAGCGUUAUCCGGAUUUAUUGGGUUUAAAGGGAGCGUAGGUGGACAGUUAAGUCAGUUGUGAAAGUUUGCGGCUCAACCGUAAAAUUGCAGUUGAUACUGGCUGUCUUGAGUACAGUAGAGGUGGGCGGAAUUCGUGGUGUAGCGGUGAAAUGCUUAGAUAUCACGAAGAACUCCGAUUGCGAAGGCAGCUCACUGGACUGCAACUGACACUGAUGCUCGAAAGUGUGGGUAUCAAACAGGAUUAGAUACCCUGGUAGUCCACACAGUAAACGAUGAAUACUCGCUGUUUGCGAUAUACAGUAAGCGGCCAAGCGAAAGCAUUAAGUAUUCCACCUGGGGAGUACGCCGGCAACGGUGAAACUCAAAGGAAUUGACGGGGGCCCGCACAAGCGGAGGAACAUGUGGUUUAAUUCGAUGAUACGCGAGGAACCUUACCCGGGCUUAAAUUGCAUUUGAAUAUAUUGGAAACAGUAUAGCCGUAAGGCAGAUGUGAAGGUGCUGCAUGGUUGUCGUCAGCUCGUGCCGUGAGGUGUCGGCUUAAGUGCCAUAACGAGCGCAACCCUUAUCUUUAGUUACUAACAGGUCAUGCUGAGGACUCUAGAGAGACUGCCGUCGUAAGAUGUGAGGAAGGUGGGGAUGACGUCAAAUCAGCACGGCCCUUACGUCCGGGGCUACACACGUGUUACAAUGGGGGGUACAGAAGGCAGCUACCUGGUGACAGGAUGCUAAUCCCAAAAGCCUCCCUCAGUUCGGAUCGAAGUCUGCAACCCGACUUCGUGAAGCUGGAUUCGCUAGUAAUCGCGCAUCAGCCAUGGCGCGGUGAAUACGUUCCCGGGCCUUGUACACACCGCCCGUCAAGCCAUGAAAGCCGGGGGUACCUGAAGUACGUAACCGCAAGGAGCGUCCUAGGGUAAAACUGGUAA
rnacentral:rRNA from 1 species